AGAGUUUGAUCCUGGCUCAGAUUGAACGCUGGCGGCAUGCUUUACACAUGCAAGUCGAACGGCAGCGCGGGCUUCGGCCUGGCGGCGAGUGGCGAACGGGUGAGUAAUGCGUCGGAACACACCGGGUAAUGGGGGAUAACUUUCCGAAAGGAAAGCUAAUACCGCAUACGCUCUGAGGAGGAAAGCGGGGGAUCGUAAGACCUCGCGUUAUUCGAGUGGCCGACGUCGGAUUAGCUAGUUGGUGGGGUAAGAGCCCACCAAGGCGACGAUCCGUAGCGGGUCUGAGAGGAUGAUCCGCCACACUGGGACUGAGACACGGCCCAGACUCCUACGGGAGGCAGCAGUGGGGAAUUUUGGACAAUGGGCGCAAGCCUGAUCCAGCCAUGCCGCGUGUCUGAAGAAGGCCUUCGGGUUGUAAAGGACUUUUGUCGAGGAGCAAACCUCUGUGGCUAAUAUCUACGGAGCUGAGAGUACUCGAAGAAUAAGCACCGGCUAACUACGUGCCAGCAGCCGCGGUAAUACGUAGGGUGCAAGCGUUAAUCGGAAUUACUGGGCGUAAAGCGUGCGCA
rnacentral:rRNA from 1 species